rnacentral:tRNA from 1 species
CAUCUUUGAUAAUUCUAGUAAACAAUCAUUAUUGUUAAAAGGUCAUCUUACCUUAUCAAAGAAA